rnacentral:rRNA from 1 species
GACGAACGCUGGCGGCGUGCUUAACACAUGCAAGUCGAGCGGUAAGGCCCUUCGGGGUACACGAGCGGCGAACGGGUGAGUAACACGUGGGUGACCUGCCUCUAGCUCUGGGAUAAGCCUGGGAAACUGGGUCUAAUACCGGAUAUGACUCCACGGCGCAUGUUGUGGGGUGGAAAGCCUUGUGUGGCUAGAGAUGGGCCCGCGGCCUAUCAGCUUGUUGGUGGGGUGAUGGCCUACCAAGGCGACGACGGGUAGCCGGCCUGAGAGGGCGACCGGCCACACUGGGACUGAGACACGGCCCAGACUCCUACGGGAGGCAGCAGUGGGGAAUCUUGCGCAAUGGGCGAAAGCCUGACGCAGCGACGCCGCGUGAGGGAUGACGGCCUGGUGUAAC